AUUGAACGCUGGCGGCAUGCCUUACACAUGCAAGUCGAACGGUAACAGGUCUUCGGAUGCUGACGAGUGGCGAACGGGUGAGUAAUACAUCGGAACGUGCCCGAGAGUGGGGGAUAACGAGGCGGAAGCUUUGCUAAUACCGCAUACGAUCUCAGGAUGAAGCAGGGGACCGCAAGGCCUUGCGCUCAAGGAGCGGCCGAUGGCAGAUUAGGUAGUUGGUGGGAUAAAAGCUUACCAAGCCGACGAUCUGUAGCUGGUCUGAGAGGACGACCAGCCACACUGGGACUGAGACACGGCCCAGACUCCUACGGGAGGCAGCAGUGGGGAAUUUUGGACAAUGGGCGCAAGCCUGAUCCAGCCAUGCCGCGUGCAGGAUGAAGGCCUUCGGGUUGUAAACUGCUUUUGUACGGAACGAAAAGACUCUGGUUAAUACCUGGGGUCCAUGACGGUACCGUAAUAAUAAGCACCGGCUAACUACGUGCCAGCCGCCGCCGUAAGAC
rnacentral:rRNA from 1 species